rnacentral:misc_RNA from 1 species
UCCGGUUUGUCACCGGCAGUCUCAUUAGAGUGCCCAACUGAAUGUAGCAACUAAUGACAAGGGUUGCGCUCGUUGCGGGACUUAACCCAACAUCUCACGACACGAGCUGACGACAGCCAUGCAGCACCUGUGUUCCAGUUCCCUUUCGGGCACACCCGGCUUUCACCAGGCUUCCGGACAUGUCAAGGGUAGGUAAGGUUUUUCGCGUUGCAUCGAAUUAAUCCACAUAAUCCACCGCUUGUGCGGGUCCCCGUCAAUUCCUUUGAGUUUUAAUCUUGCGACCGUACUCCCCAGGCGGAAUGCUUAAUGCGUUAGCUGCGCCACCGAAGAGCAGGCUCCCCGACGGCUAGCAUCCAUCGUUUACGGCGUGGACUAC